CCUACGGGGGGCAGCAGUCGAGAAUCAUUCACAAUGGGGGAAACCCUGAUGGUGCGACGCCGCGUGGGGGAAUGAAGUUCUUCGGAUUGUAAACCCCUGUCAUGUGGGAGCAAAUUAAAAAGAUCGUACCACAAGAGGAAGAGACGGCUAACUCUGUGCCAGCAGCGGCGGUAAUACAGAGGUCUCAAGCGUUGUUCGGAAUCACUGGGCGUAAAGCGUGCGUAGGCUGUUUCGUAAGUCGUGUGUGAAAGGCGCGGGCUCAACCCGCGGACGGCACAUGAUACUGCGAGACUAGAGUAAGGGAGGGGGAACCGGAAUUCUCGGUGUAGCAGUGAAAUGCGUAGAUAUCGAGAAGAACACUCGUGGCGAAGGCGGGUUCCUGGACAUUAACUGACGCUGAGGCACGAAGGCCAGGGGAGCGAAAGGGAUUAGAUACCCGGGUAGUC
rnacentral:rRNA from 1 species